rnacentral:lncRNA from 1 species
GUGAAAAUUAGAUUAUAGCUUUCUCGAAGCCACCUGUAGCAACUAUUGUAAACAUUUUCAUCUUUCAAAUGAAAAUAAAUGAAUUUUAUAGAAAAUUUUAGAAAAUUAAUUUAUUUAUGGUUAUGUCACUUUUAAUAGACAGCAUAUGUAAGAAGCAGCUAAAAUACCUUCAAGACAUUAAUGUCAUCUUCUCAAUUGCUUGUUUCUGUUCUAACAGAUUACCCAUUCUGUUUCCACAAGCAAUGUAAUUGGAUUUACUAAGCAUGUUUAUGUUCAGCGCCUAAACUCUACUGGUGGGCGCUCUCAGUACUCCUGGUUUCAAUCUGUACGUCAUUCUGCUUUCCGAGCUAGUUUUUCAGAGAUACUAGAAGGAAAUACUGAUUUUUCAAAUUUCAAAAAAGUUCUUUCCAAGUCAUCUUUGACAUUUGUGAAGAAUUAGGAGAUUUGCCAACCACUAAUGGAAACAAGCCUCAUGAAGUUUAAUGGUAUCCCUUCUCCCUCCCUUGUCAGCCUUCCUUCCUUCUUUGAAAGGAGAAGUCAUACGUUAAGUAGAUCUACAACUCAUUUGAUAUGAAGCGUUACCAAAAUCUUAAAUUAUAGAAAUGUAUAGACACCUCAUACUCAAAUA